ACCAAUUCUGGGGGAUAAAUCUGGUUCCUCUUGGUAUAAUGGCUCGGGCGCAAUAUCAAUUGUGGUUAUCCUGAUUGAUGGAUAACUUUUGUAAUGCCAUUAGAUCCUGGAAACGCCACUUAUAUUU